UUUGAUCGUUUCAUGUCUGAGGUGG
rnacentral:piRNA from 1 species